rnacentral:tRNA from 1 species
AAAUAAGAAGCAAUUAUGCCUUUAGUUUCGACCUAAAAAAAGAUAUUUUUAUAUCCUUAUUUA